rnacentral:rRNA from 1 species
GAAUACGUUCCCGGGUCUUGUACACACCGCCCGUCACACCAUGGGAGUGGGUUUUACCAGAAGUGGCUAGUCUAACCGCAAGGAGGACGGUCACCACGGUAGGAUUCAUGACUGGGGUGAAGUCGUAUCAAGGUAGCCGUAUCGGAAGGUGCGGCUGGAUCACCUCCUUUCCAG